rnacentral:precursor_RNA from 1 species
GAGGACCGUAUUCAUGGAAGAGGAUUGAACAGUAAAGAGCCCAGGAUUUGAUAAAAAUGAGAAUAUAUCGCCUCAAGCAGAAGCAGAUGAAUAUAUGGGAGAUGAAGUAGACAGUAUGUUGGAUAAAUCUGGAGUAAAGAACCCAGCAAUUGGUAAAGAUGAGAAUAUAUCGCCUCAAGUAAAAGGAGAUGAAGACAUGGGAGAUGAAAUUGACAGUAUGUUGGCUACAUCUGGAGGUCUUUUCUCCUGAGAACACGGGACUCCAGCAUCUUCGGAUUCUGCUCUUGGAGGUGUGAGUCCCUGCCUCUCUGCACAGGGGAACUUAUGUCUCUCCACAUGUCCGCAAAUGUCUACCCAAGAUUAUACAUCUUCCAAAGGCUUUCAAAUACUUCUUUACAUAAACAAGGGGUUUGCCCCACAUCCUCUAUAUUGCAGAAAACAAGACUAGGCUCUACCUCUGUAGAUCAAGCACGACUGAAAUCCGUGCUCUCAAAAGAUGCUGGGAGAAAGAGUGCCAUUCUUCACAAAUGCUGAUUAUCUGAAUGAAACAUAGCAACUGUAACUUAAAUCAAGAAAGCUAUUUUGUGCGGACAUUAGAAGUGUGAAACUAAUUCUCAAAAGGUGUAUAUUAUCUGAAUCAACACUUAUAAUUUCCUACCCAUUUUACAACACAGCAAGUUCUUCAUGCCUAGCAGGAUUAUUCUGCUGCAUCAUUGGACUGAAAGUGAAUGGCCCAUGUGUUGCCACUGAUGUGAGCCAUUUGCCUGUUGUGCUUCAA